GAAGGACGAAGGACAUGGCAGUGAAUUAUUUAAUGAGCCAGCGGAAAAGAAUGGGGUUUAGCUCUUGAAACCCAAAGUGCCGUGUGCGAUACUCUUAACACUUGACUAUGAUUCAACCGAAGUGUAACAACCGCAGGCGAAAUUUCAUUUCUCCUUUCGCAUGCCGUGAAAUAAUAGCCCAGUUUAAUUCCAUAAAUGUUUUACAAGCGAAACGGCUCCAACUGGCAGCAGGCCAAUGCAUUUUCCGCUUUUCCAAAAAAAGAGACAUGAAAAGUGGGGAGACAAUGGUGAAAAAUGUGCGGAGACUAUAAGUCCUCGGCGAACUUUUGAAAUCAUAAUGGAAUGGCAAUCUUUGGCCGAUGCUCUAAUUAUCAGUUGCACGCACACUUGCCACACAUUGGGGCACUGGAAUAGUUUGAGCCGGAGCUCAAGUUUGGCCAACUCCAGCAGCCAGCAGGAAUAUUAUUAUUUUUUCUGUUGGCUCUUAUCUCGGCAACCAACUACUUUCGCCCCGGCCGGAGGAGAGGAAGGAGGAGCAGGGUGUUCCCCCCCUAGUAAUCCGGAAUCCUUGUGGCCUCUAAAGUGGCCAUGCGGGCGUUGCUUUCUAACCAGCGCAAAUAUUUUAACCUACAGGCCAGGACAAAAACGGGGCUAAAGGAGACAGCGGGGUUGGCCAAGUAAAUAAAUGUUUUCGAGAU
ensembl:ncRNA lncRNA:CR43794 long non-coding RNA:CR43794